rnacentral:rRNA from 1 species
GNNUGCGCUGCUACCAUGCAGUCGAACGGUGAAGCAGAGCUUGCUCUGUGGAUCAGUGGCGAACGGGUGAGUAACACGUGAGCAACCUGCCCCGGACUCUGGGAUAAGCGCUGGAAACGGCGUCUAAUACUGGAUACGAGCUGCGACCGCAUGGUCAGCAGUUGGAAAGAUUUUUCGGUCUGGGAUGGGCUCACGGCCUAUCAGCUUGUUGGUGAGGUAAUGGCUCACCAAGGCGUCGACGGGUAGCCGGCCUGAGAGGGUGACCGGCCACACUGGGACUGAGACACGGCCCAGACUCCUACGGGAGGCAGCAGUGGGGAAUAUUGCACAAUGGGCGAAAGCCUGAUGCAGCAACGCCGCGUGAGGGAUGACGGCCUUCGGGUUGUAAACCUCUUUUAGCAGGGAAGAAGCGAGAGUGACGGUACCUGCAGAAAAAGCGCCGGCUAACUACGUGCCAGCAGCCGCGGUAAUACGUAGGGCGCAAGCGUUAUCCGGAAUUAUUGGGCGUAAAGAGCUCGUAGGCGGUUUGUCGCGUCUGCUGUGAAAUCCCGAGGCUCAACCUCGGGCCUGCAGUGGGUACGGGCAGACUAGAGUGCGGUAGGGGAGAUUGGAAUUCCUGGUGUAGCGGUGGAAUGCGCAGAUAUCAGGAGGAACACCGAUGGCGAAGGCAGAUCUCUGGGCCGUAACUGACGCUGAGGAGCGAAAGGGUGGGGAGCAAACAGGCUUAGAUACCCUGGUAGUCCACCCCGUAAACGUUGGGAACUAGUUGUGGGGUCCAUUCCACGGAUUCCGUGACGCAGCUAACGCAUUAAGUUCCCCGCCUGGGGAGUACGGCCGCAAGGCUAAAACUCAAAGGAAUUGACGGGGACCCGCACAAGCGGCGGAGCAUGCGGAUUAAUUCGAUGCAACGCGAAGAACCUUACCAAGGCUUGACAUAUACGAGAACGGGCCAGAAAUGGUCAACUCUUUGGACACUCGUAAACAGGUGGUGGCAUGGGUUGUCGUCAGCUCGUGUCGUGAGAUGUUGGGUUAAGUCCCGCAACGAGCGCAACCCUCGUUCUAUGUUGCCAGCACGUAAUGUGGGAACUCAUGGNUACUGCCGGGGUCACUCGGAGAAAGGUGGGGGAUGACGUCAAAUCAUCAUGCCCCUAUGUCCUGGNCUNACGGCAUGCUACAUGNCGNACANGGCUGCAAUACGCNAGNUGAACNNAUUCCNAAAAGCCGGNNUCCCCA